UACGUAGGGGGCUAGCGUUGUCCGGAUUUAUUGGGCGUAAGGAGCGUGUAGGCGGCCAGGUAGGUCCGUUGUGAAAACUCGAGGCUCAACCUCGAGACGCCGAUGGAAACCAUCUGGCUAGAGUCCGGAAGAGGAGAGUGGAAUUCCCGGUGUAGCGGUGAAAUGCGCAGAUAUCGGGAAGAACACCCGUGGCUAAGGCGGCUCUCUAGUACGGUACUGACGCUGAGACGCGAAAGCGUGGGGAGCAAACAGG
rnacentral:rRNA from 1 species